CCAGGUCCUCAGGACUCUGUUCAUGGAAAGAGAGUCAGGGCUAGAAGAUGCCAGGGCCCAGUCGCCCUGCCUUCUCCGCAGCCCUCCCCAGCCCCAGGAGUGCUGUACGUCUCUCAGGCACCUUUCCCCAGCACCCUGAAUCUUGGUGCUGGCUGUCCUCCAGGAUCUGUGAGGAUGGAAUAGUAUUCAGUUAUGAAAAGGAAUGAAGUGCUGGCGCCUGCCCCCACCUGGGUGACUCUCGAAAACAACACGAGCUGCCUGGUGGUUUUGAACUACUGACCUUGCCGUUAACAGCCCAACUUGUAACCACCAAGGCUCUGCUGACGUCAGAGUUGGUACAAAAUAUUGGUGAGGGAGGCAUGCCUGCCUUCCAUCUCAUAGGCCUGAAGCACUGAUACUGAUUUUUCCUCGGCCCGGAGAUGGUAGAGAAUGCCGGACCCCACCCUGCACCAUUUCUGCAAUGAAAACCCAAGGACUUGUACACUGCGAGUCGGUGAGUUGUAUGGGAUGCUAGUUAUGUAU